rnacentral:rRNA from 1 species
GCCGCUGCACGUUCCAGCGGGGAGCACAAGAGGGGGGGAGAGCGCAAGUUAAGCGUGCUUAGGUGAGUGUAUUUCUAGGAUGGGUGACCUCCUGGGAAGUCCUCGCGUUGCGUCC